UCAAAACUAGUCAUUUGUCAUUUUCUCAUUGGUUCGUAGUGUGUUAAAUUUUUCUAAGAAGCACUUAGAAAAUGACAAGUGGCUAAUUUUGA
rnacentral:pre_miRNA from 1 species